UCCAGUGUCUGUGAUUUUGUUCU
rnacentral:miRNA from 1 species